rnacentral:rRNA from 1 species
UACGUAGGGGGCAAGCGAUGUCCGGAUUUAUUGGGCGUAAAGAGCGUGUAGGCGGCCAGAUAGGUCCGUUGUGAAAACUCGAGGCUCAACCUCGAGACGCCGAUGGAAACCAUUUGGCUAGAGUCCGGAAGAGGAGAGUGGAAUUCCUGGUGUAGCGGUGAAAUGCGCAGAUAUCAGGAAGAACACCAGUGGCGAAGGCGGCUCACUGGUCCGGUACUGACGCUGAGGUGCGAAAGCGUGGGGAGCAAACAGG